GCACCUGAGCCGCGGGCCGGCAUCCCAUGCCCGGGGGGAGCCCGAGCUUCAGCCUCUGCUUUCAGCGCAAAUGCUGUCAUCCACCUCACUCCCACCCAGCCCCCGAGCCUCCCUCGGCAGAAGGGGGAAUUAGCACUAGAGGAGGACAGAAGCCGAUGUCUCAAGGCAGAAGGUUGGCAAGCAGGGAGCGAAGGAGACCAGGAGGGGCUGCUUAAUUGGAUUCCCUGGACCACAGCAGCCCAGCUCUGGAGUCAGAGGUGACUCCUGUGAGAACAUCAGAAGGGAAGAACGAGUCACCCAUGAACCACUGAGCUUUCUCUACUGCAGAUGGCAACACGAUGUGUUCAGACAAAACCUUCACAGAG